rnacentral:rRNA from 1 species
AUUGAACGCUGGCGGCAUGCCUUACACAUGCAAGUCGAACGGCAGCGCGGACUUCGGUCUGGCGGCGAGUGGCGAACGGGUGAGUAAUGUAUCGGAACGUACCUUUCAGUGGGGGAUAACGUAGCGAAAGUUACGCUAAUACCGCAUAUUCUGUGAGCAGGAAAGCAGGGGAUCGCAAGACCUUGCGCUGAUUGAGCGGCCGAUAUCAGCUUAGCUAGUUGGUGAGGUAUAGGCUCACCAAGGCGACGAUCUGUAGCGGGUCUGAGAGGAUGAUCCGCCAAGCUGGAACGGAGACACGGUCCAGACUCCUACGUGAGGCAGCAGUGGGGAAUUUUGGACAAUGGGGGCAACCCUGAUCCAGCCAUGCCGCGUGAGUGAAGAAGGCCUUCGGGUUGUAAAGCUCUUUCGGCCGGGAAGAAAUCGUACGGGUUAAUACCCUGUGCGGAUGACGGUACCGGCAUAAGAAGCACCGGCUAACUACGUGCCAGCCGCCGCAGUAA